GGGGGGAAAUUAAUUAAAUAAAAUUAAUAAAAUAAAUUUUAAAGUUAAAAAUAAAUUGGGGGUUAAAGUAUUUUUAAUAGAAAAAAUUUAAAUUUUUAUAGUAAAUUAGUAUUGUAAAAGAAAUUUGAAAUAGUUUAAAAAUUAAUUAAUAGAAAAGAAGAUUUAAUUUAUUGUAUCUUGUGUAUCAGAGUUUAUUAAAUAAUUUUUUAAAAUAAAAAAAUCUCGAAUUUAAAAGAGUUAAUUAAUUAUGAAAGUUAAUGUAACAUAAUUAUUUUAAAUAAUUAAUUAGAAAUGAAAUGUUAAUCGUUUUUAAAUAUAUCUAGUUAUUUUAGAAAAAAAUUUAAUUUUAAAUUUAAAUAAUUUUAUAAUUUAAUGAUAAAAAUAUAAAAAUUUAAAUUUAAUAUAUUAAGGGAUAAGCUUUAAAAUUAAAAAUUUAUAAUAAAAAUAAUUUAAAAUUAAAAUUUUUAAAAUUUAUAUUGUUUAAAAAUUAUAAUUUAUUAUAAAAAAUUUUAAUAAAAAUAAAAUUAAAAAAAAAUUUAAAUUUUUAUAAAAUAAUAAUUUUUAAUAAGAUAAAAUUAAUAAUAAUGAUAAAAUUAGUAUAAAAUAAUAAUAAUAUAAUAUAAAUAAAUAAUUAAAAUUAAUUAAAAGGAAUUCGGCAAAAUAUAAUAUUCACUUGUUUAUCAAAAACAUGUCUUUUUGAUUAUAAUUUAAAGUCUAAUCUGCCCACUGAUAAAUAUUAAAGGGCUGCAGUAUAUUGACUGUACAAAGGUAGCAUAAUCAUUAGUUUUUUAAUUGAAAACUUGUAUGAAAGAUUUGAUGAAAUAUAAACUGUCUCUUUAUUAUUAUUAAAAAUUUAUUUUUUAGUAAAAAGCUAAAAUAGUUUUAAAAGACGAGAAGACCCUAUAGAGUUUUAUAUUAAAUUUAUAUUUUAAAAAUAUAUAAAAAUUGAUAUUAAAAUAAAAUUUAGUAUUUUAUUGGGGUGAUAGAAAAAUUAAAUUAACUUUUUUUAAAAAUUAAACAUAAAUAAAUGAUUAAAUGAUCCAUAAAUAAUGAUUAUAAGAAUAAAUUACCUUAGGGAUAACAGCGUAAUAUUUUUUUUUAGUUCAAAUAAAAAAAAAGUUUGCGACCUCGAUGUUGGAUUAAGAUAAAAUUUAAAUGCAAAAGUUUAAAAUUUUGAUCUGUUCGAUCAUUAAAAUCUUACAUGAUCUGAGUUCAAACCGGUGUGAGCCAGGUUGGUUUCUAUCUUUAAAAAAAAAAAAUAUUUUA
rnacentral:rRNA from 1 species